CCUACGGGAGACAGCAGUGAGGAAUAUUGGUCAAUGGCCGUAAGGCUGAACCAGCCAAGUCGCGUGAAGGAAGAAGGCCCUAUGGUUUGUAAACUUCUUUUAUAGGGGAAUAAAGGUAUCCACGUGUGGAUUUUUGCAUGUACUCUAUGAAUAAGCAUCGGCUAACUCCGUGCCAGCAGCCGCGGUAAUACGGAGGAUGCGAGCGUUAUCCGGAUUUAUUGGGUUUAAAGGGUGCGUAGGUUGUUUUUUAAGUCAGCGGUGAAAGUUUGUGGCUCAACCAUAAAAUUGCCGUUGAAACUGGAAGACUUGAGUGUAUUUGAGGUAGGCGGAAUGCGUGGUGUAGCGGUGAAAUGCAUAGAUAUCACGCAGAACUCCGAUUGCGAAGGCAGCUUACUAAGCCAUAACUGACACUGAUGCACGAAAGCGUGGGUAUCAAACAGGAUUAGAUACCCGAGUAGUC
rnacentral:rRNA from 1 species